GAGACAGUCAACAACACAAAAGCAUGAGAUGCUCUGCAGCAACAGUUCUCCAGGGCUGAGAUCAAGUCCUGUCUCCUCUCUAAUCCAACGCCCGUCAUUCGCACUGACAGAAGUGAACCUUCAGAAUCCAAGAGUCAUUCGCCAGAAAUGUUACAAGAGCAAAGUUAAUUCUGCCUGUCUGCCCCAAGUGAAUGAAGGUAGGAGUCUCUCACUCUGAAAACAAACAAGAACCUUUCCAGAGAGUUUGAUCAUCUUUUAAGAUUCGGUCCACACCAUCAUCCGCCCAUUUUCAGGAGAAGAAAAGUUCCGCCCCACCCACUGAUGAGCUGGGAAGCCUCCUGUCUCAGUUAGGUUCUCCUGGAAGCCAUGAACACGCUGGUGUCUUUGCACGUUCUUUCUCUCCUCCCUGACUCCGUCUAAGCAGAUUGAAAACUUAGUUUCUGAGCCCUGAAGCAAACAGAGAAGAGCAGCCAGCCUCCCGCGGAAGCUCUUCACAGUCUCCCAGGGAUUUCCAGUCAUGGCCAACAUCUUUGUUACAGGACGGAAUCCAGCAACCACUCGCAACCUUAGCAUAAAGCAGUAGCCAAGUCUUACGGGCUAGUUACGAAUAUCAGAUGUGCGGUGACUAUCCACGGGCUUAGAGUGAGUUGGGCAUAUUUAAGUUAUGAAAGAUGUGUUUAUUUCCCCUGGACCCCAAAUAAAUGUCAGCGACAGCUCC